UGAGUAACCUGCCCUUAACUCUGGGAUAAGCCUGGGAAACUGGGUCUAAUACCGGAUAUGACUCCUCAUCGCAUGGUGGGGGGUAAAGCUUUAUUGUGGUUUUGGAUGGACUCGCGGCCUAUCAGCUUGUUGGUGAGGUAAUGGCUCACCAAGGCGACGACGGGUAGCCGGCCUAAGAGGGUGACCGGCCACACUGGGACUGAGACACGGCCCAGACUCCUACGGGAGGCAG
rnacentral:rRNA from 1 species